GCCGCCGUGGCGAAACUGGCAGACGCAAUGGACUCAAAAUCCAUCGGUAGCAAUACCAUGUCGGUUCGACUCCGACCGGCGGCA
rnacentral:tRNA from 1 species